CGUGUAGGCGGCCGGCCAAGUCGGAUGUGAAAGCCCUCGGCUUAACCGAGGAAGUGCGUUCGAUACUAGCUGGCUUGAGUACCGGAGAGGGUGGUGGAAUUCCCAGUGUAGAGGUGAAAUUCGUAGAUAUCGGGAGGAACACCAGCGGCGAAGGCGACCACCUGGACGGAUACUGACGCUGAGACGCGAAAGCGUGGGGAGCAAACA
rnacentral:rRNA from 1 species